CUUCCUAGUUGCUCGGUCCGACUUACUCAUUGAGACUCGGUGAUAGUGCUUAUGUUGUUAUUGUUAACAAGAUGCAGCUGACUCAGGUUUCUUACUAACAGAAAGAGGAAUUUAAAAGCAGAUUUGUGAGAGAAAGAGUUUGUUGCUGCUGUUAGAUGGAGAGGAUUAAGAAAUAAGGGUUUGGUUUGAUUAUGAAAGGAACCAAGAAUAAGAAGAAAUUUAUGGAGUAUUGUUUAACACCGAGUUUCUUAAGAUUUUACACAAUUGUUCAACGCCGAGUUGCUUAAGAUUUUACACAAUUGGGUUGUUAUUGAGCGAAGAAACCAGGUAAGAAAGUGGGUUUGCUGCCAUCGAUCGCGGAUUAUCAACAGAGCCGGAUGAAGAGAUUAGCAGGCAUAUUCGAGUCUGUGGAAGAUUGGGAAGGAUGGGUUGGCCUUCAACUCGAGUUUCACAGGUUUUUGGUGGAGUUUUGCAAUUAGAACAGACCAAGUUUGCUGCAAUCAGUGUGGGGAUGGAUCAAUGAGAUUAAUGGUUGUUCUUGAGAAUUUGUGAAUGUUUAGAAACGAAUCCUAAACUCAAAGUUAUUCAGGGCUGCUGGGAUUGGUUAUAGGAGACAGCGAAACCACUUGCAAAGCCAAUUGCAAUGGAAUGCUGUAAGAUCCAAUAUUGAGGAGAAGAGUUUGGAAGAAUUAGAAAACUAAAUCUAAAAAUUCAGGUGAUGAUGGGUCGAUCUUCUCACAUUUGGGUAAGUUGUUGCUGUGACUGUGGUUGGUAGAAAUGACGCUCCGCGCUUCAUGAAGCAAAUAUUGCACUUGGAGUUGGCAUUGCUCUGUGUUGUAAGGCAAAUAAUAUUGACCACCAUGUUGCCUUCAAGGUACUUUAUUGGUUGCUUACCAGAUGACACUUAAACUCCUUUAGUUGCUUGAGGGAUAUUCACCCAGUACCCGAAUUCAAUGGGUCAUAUAUAUAUAUAUAUAUAUAUAUAAGCAAUGCCAUUAUUGUUAUCUCUUUACUGGUGGAAAAUAUAAUGUCAUUGUGUCAAGGGUGAACUUGGCUCCUACAUGCAUACGGCUGCUUCAAGAUAAUGAGGCAGAAGGACGGAUAGUUGCUGGCAAAAGAAAAAUGGCAGAGAUAUCAGUGGUGUAUAAAACUUCAACGAUGUUAAAGGAUAGUUUCAGGUAAUGUAGGGAUAUCAAUCUUCCCUUCAAGAAAAGUUAGCAGUCCUUAAAAUGCUAGAUUAAAUUGCUUGGGAUUUUCGUGGAUUUGGUUUCUUAAACUACAAUAGUUUAUUAUGUUUGAAAGUUUUUUUAGUCACCCAACAUUUAUCGAUUUUGAUAUCUGGCCACAAUACCGGGGUCGUUCACAGUGUAUCAUCAGCUAAGAAACAUAAAACAUUUCCUGUAUUGAGAAGCAACUAAACUCAAUCUAGCUUCUUCAACCUUAAUGAUCAAAUCGCGUGAACCUACCCCGAAUCUGUUGUGAUGGUGAGACUCUUAACAUCAACCUUAAUUCAUGAAUUGUGCUUACAGUACUAAAGAAGAACAGAUUUUGUUGCUGAUUUUGUUCCUUCGCAUGCCAACUUUGGGAUUGUAUGAGAGGAACCAGAUAUGAUCUUUACUUUAGUUUCUUUUGAUUAGCUUGACCAACAUCUAAUUGUAAUGGUUCUGUUUUUGGGUAGAUUACAGUUGGCACCCGACACUCUUUUCGGUCAUUCCAUACACCGUGUAUGAGUUGUGAAGUUCGCAUCGGGUGACAUCGCAGUUUACUACUGUCAGUGGUGGACAAUUCUACAGGUUAUGGGUAAUGAUGUUGAACCUAACAUCAAUAGCAAACAUGCAAGAAACUAACCAUACCAAGGUAGUCGUUGAGUUAAGAUUUUUUUGUUCGUUUAAUUGUGGAUCUAAGUAAUGAAAGAGUGGGAUUUUUUUUUUUUUGUUUUUUUUUUAUGAAGAUUUCAGCAUACACCAUCCUAGGAAUUAGUCUUACUGGGAAGAAUUAGUCUUACUGGGAAGAAUUAGUAUACACUUAUUCCUAGGGCUGAAACAGACUAUAUAGCAUAGUUCCCCACAUCCACUUCCUACAUAAGAAAGAUCAUUUGCAUAUAUAUCUGGUGCGUCGAACGAGAUCACUUUAUAGUGCAUGGGAAGAAGCAAACGAUUUCUUUGGUGAAGCAGCUGCUCUGUGUAUAACGUUUUAGUGUGGAUCAAGGGUAUAGAAGAUUCCAGUGGAAGACAUUUUGUAAAGCUCAGAAGUGAUUCUUCUAGGUGAUACAAAUAUAUCAGGGCUGAAUUGGGGGACCCUGAAAUAGUAAUUGGGGACCGCUAGCUACAAGACAAAAAAGGUCAUGAAAUAGUAAUUGGGAGUUAUCCCUUAUCCCAUUUUUUAAGAAAUGGCUAAAUUAUCCUUGGAUUAUUAGUGUUAA